rnacentral:misc_RNA from 1 species
GAAAAAUUACCCACAACUACGUGUUAAAGGGUCACAGAGAUGUCGGCCAGACCGCGUGCCCUGGGGACAAGCUGUACGCCUUGAUCAAGACCUGGCCCCACUACCAUCAUUAGAUAAUGGCCCUCAUUUCUGAAAAAGAAAUGUAAUGCACACGGUACUUCCAAUAAAAACAUUUAU